CACCGCUCCGCUGUCCGCCUGCACGUCUCCACACCACCAACACCACCAACACCACCGAGCACCACAUCACAGCCUACAACCACAGAAAGGCCAUCAGAGUGCUCUGACUGGUCGUGGAGAACAUUCUCCAUAACGGCAGCUGUAUGUGUGAUCGUUGCCCUGCUUGUUUGGCUCUGCUGGUUUUUGAGGAACAGGAUAGACAAUGUGUGCACUCGAAGUUUUCUCUGCAACGACACAGAGGGAAGAGGAGGGGCUGAAGAGAGCAGAGAAUCAGACUGUGACCAACAACACAUGCUAAAGUCAAACGGGAACCCUGACUUUACCCACCACUGAGGAAUGAAAAACAACAACAGCUAACCCCUUUAAGUAUUUGAACUCGCCACCUUUAUGACGGUACCACUGUGCAACUCCACUUUCUCAGGUUUAGAAAUCCCCCGUUUUCCUUCUGCUGAAUCUGACUGCUGUUACAAUGUUUGAGAUUGUCUCUAUUAUUUUGUCUUCCAAUCAAUCAAGUAAUGCCGCUAAAUCGUCCGCUUACAUAAUCAGUGCAUAAUUUAGCUUCAAGAUGGAUAAAUGAGAUCUCUUCAAUAAUAACAUUUAUCCCUCACACAAAUAAAUAUGAGCUUCACACUUUUGUGCACACAACCCUAAAAUGUAACAGCACAACAAUCUGUGUCAAAACCUCAUGGAGCAGUUAAAUUAUUUGUUAUUUGUAACGUUUUAUAGCACUUUUAUUCUGCUUAUAUUAUUAUAUACUCAGUAUAUUGUCCUGCUAGUUUGUGUAGAUUUACAAUCUUUCCUCUGUUUACUUUUCUCUUUGUAAAACGCCAAUAAAGUUGGUAACAAAGUGACGCUCUAA